GAUGAAGAACGUAGCGAAAUGCGAUAAGUAAUGUGAAUUGCAGAAUUCAGUGAAUCAUCGAAUCUUUGAACGCACAUUGCGCCCGCCAGUAUUCUGGCGGGCAUGCCUGUUCGAGCGUCAUUUCAACCAUCAAGCCCCCGGCUUGUGUUGGGGACCUGCGGCUGCCGCAGGCCCUGAAAAGCAGUGGCGGGCUCGCUGUCACACCGAGCGUAGUAGCAUACAUCUCGCUCUGGGCGUGCUGCGGGUUACGGCCGUUAAACCACCAUCAUAACCCAAGGUUGACCUCGGAUCAGGUAGGAAGACCCGCUGAACUUAAGCAUAUCAAUAAGCGGAGGA
rnacentral:misc_RNA from 1 species